AAGGGAAGAAGAAGAACAGCCGUCAGAGAGAGAGAGAGAGAGUAACAAAAAAAAUAUAUAUAUAUGAGACCAAUGUUUUUUUUUGUGGUAAAAAAAACUUGGGAUUUGAGUUUUGGUUAAUAUUUUUUCUGACAUAAAUAAAUUGAUUUUCGGGAAAUUAAAUAUUUUUAGCUGGAACAAAAAAACUUUAAUAAUCAGGAGAAUACAUUCUAGAAGUCGUCUAGAUAACUUCUAGAGUUUAAGCGGAAAACUACAAUAUUUUUAGCAGAAAUAAAAAUAUUUUAAUAUUUUUAAUUUGGAAAACUUGAAAAUCUUCUAACAUAAAAAAGAUAAGAAUGUUUUCAGGAAGUCUCGUCUAGAAGACUUCAUGAAUAGUCGUCUAGACCUUAAAUAUACCUUAAACUCAAAUAACUAACUAAAUAAAAAAAAAAUUCAUUAAACUUAAAUACAACUUAAAAAGUGUUUAAUAUACAUAAAACUAAACGCAUAUAGAUUAAAAUUAGUUUUUCAAAAACACUGUCAAGCUUCCAAAAUCUAACCUUAAAAAUACAUAAAAUACAAUAACAUAUGUUGUCAAAACCUGAACCAAAAAAUAUCAUGACUCACUAUUUUCAUUCAUCUAUGUUGAAAACAAUUUCAUUUUAUUAUAUUUUGAUUUAUAUCACUUGCAACUGUUAAUAAUUACAUCAUUUCAUUUUUUCCUCUAUCAAAAAUAUUUUGUCUUCGAGAAGAAUUUCAUAACAUCAGAAGACUUAAAAAAUCUCAACAACUUUAUGGGGUUAUAUUCGUAAAAACAAAUUCUAUUUUUUUUUUAUGUCAUAAGGAGCUGGUUGUAAAUUUACAAGGCUUUUGAGUUACUUUUGCAUUUGAUUCAAGUUUGGAUAUACUUUUGCAAUCAAAAUCAAGUUUUGAAUCAUAUUUGACAAAAUCACCUUAUAAUUUUGUAGAUAUUUAAAACUAAUGGUAUUAAGAUUAGAAAAAUAUAAUUUUGUAAAAAUACAUAAACUUUUGAAAAAUUAUUUAGUAAUAAUAGUUGUAUAAUUAUCAAAAGUAGAAUUACAUACUAUUUUCGAAUUUUUAAAAAUAUUGUAUAUUUGUGUUUUGUUGUUAUAUUAUUUUAAUAUUAUAUUUGAAUAUAUUUAAUUUAGUGAUGAUUCUUACGUUAUUAUCAUAUUUUAAAAAGUACCAAGCUAUAAAUAAAUAAUAAAUGCAUUUUACAAUGUCACAAUUAAAAAUAAAAUUAAACAGUAUUUCAGAAAUUUGUAGAUAUUAAAGGAAAUUAAUAGUAUAUUUGUAAACUUUUGAAGAAUUAUUUAGUAAUAAUAAUUGUAUAAUUAUCAAAAGUAGAAUUACAUACUAUUUUCAAACUUUUAAAGAUAUUGUAUAUUUGUGUUUUGUUGUUAUAUUAUUUUAAUAUUAUAUUUGAAUAUAUUUAAUUUAGUAAUGAUUCAUACGUUAUUAUCAUAUUUUAAAAAGUUCCAAGCUAUAAAUAAAUAAUAAAUGCAUUUUGCAAUGUCACAAUUAAAAAUAAAAUUAAACUGUAUUUCAGAAAUUUGUAGAUAUUAAAGGAAAUUAAUAGUAUUUGGAUCAGAAAUUUGUAGAUAAAUAUAUUAAUACUUCAAUACAGUAAAACCGAACUUUGCCUCCUCCUCUCUCUUACUGUGUCUCUCUUUUCUCUCUAUGUCUUGUUGUGUCUCAGGGAGAAGAGAAGACGACAAGGAAGAAGAAGAAGAACAGCCGUCAGAGAGAGAGAGUAAGAAAUUAAAAAAAAAUAUGACAAAUGUUUUUUUUGUGGUAAAAAUACUUGGUUUUGAGUUUUAGAUUUUAAGUUUUAUAUUUUAUAUUUUUUUGACCAAAAUAAAUUAAUUUCAUGAUUAAACAGGAAAUUAAAAUAUUUUUAGCGGAAAUUAAUUUUUUUUUUAAUAAACACGAGAUUACAUUUUCCAGAGUUUAAACGGAAAACUAAAAUAUUUUAAUAUUUAUAACUCGGAAGACUUGAAAGUCAUCUAACAUAAAAACACAAGAAGGAUUUUAGGAAAUCGUCUAGAAGACUUCAUGAAAAUUCGUCUAUACCCUAAAUAUACUCUAAACUCAAAUAACUAAUUAAAUAAAAAAAAUAAUUCAUUAAACAUAAGUACAACUUAAAAACUGUUUAAUAUACAUAAAACUAAACACAUAUAGAUUAAAAUUUAGUUUUUCAAAAAAAAAAGGUUAUGCUUCCAAAAGGUUAUUUGGAUCAGAAAUUUGUAGAUAAAUAUAUUAAUACAUUUAGAAGAAAGCAUCUCUAUUCUUUUUAAUACAAAAUAUGGUUUUAAGUAAUAAAAUGGAUAGAAAUUUCCUAAAUUUUAUAAGACCCCAUUUAUAUAGUCAGACAUUUGUUUGAAUUAAUUGAACAAUGAUAGUUCCUAACUUCCUACCACAAAUCGAUCAACGAUAUUGUACGAGAUGUAUUUUUACGACUUUUUAAGUCUAGUACACCAUUAACGGUCUCUAAUGAUUGAUACUGAAGUCGUCCAAAUUUUAACUAUUCUCUUUCAGGCUGAAAUGUUAUAAUCAGGUUGAUAGAGCAAAGUAGCAAACAGUCACAUGUAUAAUUUGCUCUGUUACCUAUCCCUGAACGAACUUAAAAUCCUUUAAUCUACAAGUGGAAGAAUAGACUGAUAGUUUGUAGAUGAAAAGGGAACCAAGGUAACUCUAAUUUCAUACUACUGACUAGCAUCAGUGUUUGGGAAAAGUGAUGUAAAAUUUGAUUUGGCAUCAAUGUUUAAUACCAACUUAAAAUGAGUUAUUUACAAUUUUUACAUCAACUAGAUUUAUGUGCUUGAAAAUUUAUCCAAAUUCUGUUUCGAUGUCUCUUCUGUUUACAUGAAAUUUAUCAAAAUAUCCAACUUUGGAAGUGGUUGCAGAGCCUACUCGUUUGAUUUAGAGAAGAAUGGUUCUCUUGCUAAGAUCCUAUUGUUUUUUUUUCUAUUUGCUUUUUUGAAUUUCUUUACAUAUAUCUUAUGUUGCAUUGAAAUUUGUCUAGCAAUAAACGGAAAAUAACUUAUUGAUGCAUUUUAAAUCAGAAACAAAUUAAAUUUUUCUCUACGUAAGGUUUAUAUUUUUCAAAUCUUUGGUUUUUUUUUAUUGAAUGAAUUGUUGUUGUUGUGUACAUAUGCGCAUCUUAAAACGAUGAUUCAUGUUAGUUCAAUAUUUUUUUUAUUUUAGAACAAAGAUUUUUACUUUUUAAAAAUAUCUUACCGUGAAUUUAUAGUAUAACUAGAUAUUGACCCGCCCUCGAGAGGACGGGUAUAUUUUUUGUUUUUGAAAUUUUUGCCUAAUAUAAUUUAUAUAUUUGUGUGUUUGUAUAAUCAUAUUUUUGUAUGAUAUGAAUUUAAUAGAAUAGAUAAUUUUUGUAAGUAUAUUAAAUAAAUCAAGUUUCAUAUGCAUUUGUGUAUUUCUUUGUAUCAUUAUUUGUAAUCGUGUUUUUAUCUGUGAUCAUAUUUGCAUAAUGUUUUUUAAAAAAAUAAUUAGUAAAGUAUUUUGAUAAUUGUAUUGAAUUUAUUAUUUUAUUAAUAUGGUAAUUUAUUUUUAAACAGUUAUUUUUUUUAAAUAUAACAAAGUAUGACACAAAAGGGGAAUUAUUUUAAACCUAUUUGACAUAUUUUAACAAAGCUCACAUAAGGUUUUGUCUUAUAUAAUUAUAAUUACAUCAUUAUUACACAUAAUACUACACAUAAUAAUUUGUAUAGCAAUUAAAAAUAAGUUAUGUAAAUCAAAGUCCAUGGCCCAAUUUUAAUGGGUUUCGUAAAUUAAAUGUUCAUGGCCCAAAUUCUUUUAUCCCGACAAAACCUUGUGAGCUUCUUCUGUCUUAAUUACGUUUAUAUUUUGUCGGUGAGUAAAGCUCAUUCGGUUCUUCGAAAGCCGUAAAAGACUGUGCAAGCUGAAUCUGAGUGACUAUGUUCAAUUGAAACCAGAGAAGUUUAAAUCGGCUUUGCUCCUGUCAAGAUCUCAGAUAUCGUUCUCAUUGGAGAAAUUGGAGGCACUGCAGAAGAAGAUGCUGCUGCUUUGAUAAAGGAAAGUGGUACUGAGAAUCAUGUUAUUGUGGUAUUGCUGGACUCACUGCACCACCGGUAAACGAUAGAACAAUAAAGUGAAAGCUCAUUUGGUUCUUACAAAGCCGUAGAAGACGGUGGAAGCCGAAUCUGAGUGACUAUGUUCAAUUGAAACCAGAGAAGUUUAAAUUGGCUUUGCUCCUGUCAAGAUCUCAGGCGUUCAUUAUUAUAAAAGAAGUAAGAUGAUGUUAGGAAACCAAUCAAAGGCAUAUCAGACUUAUGCGACAUCCACAUGUUUUCUUCCAACUUUUAAGAAGUAUUAUUUAGCGCCUUAAAUUGUAUGAAGUUCAGUGAAUAUAAAUAUGUACUGCUGUAUGAGUAUAUUACAAUUGUAGAAAACAAUUGUAAAAUGGUCGUAAAGUUAUUUAAAUUAGAUUUUAAAUGGUCCUCAUUAGUAGAAAACAAAUUGUAAAAACGGAAGUUACAUAUAAAUAGAGGUUCCCUACAUAUUCGCAUAUUAAUACUAAUGAUGUUUAAUUUUUAAUUAAUUAAGAUCUAUUGAUGCAGUUAUAAGAUUUUUGGCCCCUGAUUUUUAGGCGUCUAACCGUGUACAUGUAUAUGUGGUGGUUAAUUAAAAGGGCAUUGCAGUUAUCAUAUAAAAAAAUAAAGAUAGAUGAAAUAAUUGUUGGACUCUAUUUUUAUUAAUGGGUCACAUUGCUGUUUUAAUAGAAUAGAUAUGUAUAUGGAGAAGAAUUGAUUCUUUCAUUUGCUAAUACAUGAAAUGAGGCCCGUAUACAUGUGGUUAAGAUUAAGACGAUGAAAUAAGAUGGCUAUAUUGCCGUGAACAACUGAGGAGGUUUAAGCAAAAACAAAAAAAACAACAACAACAACUGAGGGUUGCAUCUAGCUUUGUUAAGAAGUUGUAAUAAUGGUGCAAGAAAGCUUUUUGCUUCUCCCGCAAGUGUUUUAUGAUUUUUUUUUGUUUAUAUCCAUCCCUCUUAACUUGUAUUAUUUAUAUAUGUUUAGUUAUAAUUUUCACUAUAUUUAAUUUAUGGAUGGUGUCUCCAUAUUUUGAUUUGUAUAGUCUGCAUAAGUUUGAAAGUCUGAGUAUGAUUCAUAAAUUCACUAUACUUGUUUUUUAUUUAUUUUUCGGAAGUAAAAAUUGAUAAAGUGUUACUCAUACAUAUAUAGCCAUGAAUCAUGAUACAUGUGUAUUAUAACAAAAAAAAAUUGAUUUCAAUUUUAGAAAAUUGAAAACUGUUCGUUUAUAUUUUGUAUGGAAAAUAUUGACUGAUUUUGAUUAAUAUUUUAAUUUGAGGCAGUAUUGAUUGAAAUCUAACACUGCAUUUUAAAAAGAAAUAAAUUUGAAAAUUUUAUUACUUUAAACUCUGGUUGCUGAGGCCUGCUGAGCUUUUUACCUUCUUGGAAGAUUCGAUUUGGGAUGCCAAGUGUUUUGUUCUGGUUUAUGAAAGAAAUCAGUUAGAGAUAUUCAUUGAAUGGGUUUCCGUUUGUACACUCAUGAGAGAAGGGUUAGCAACCGAGGGGCGAGCGUGUGAGUAAGGAACCACCAACUCCCACCGGUUAUAGUUACUGUUAAUUUGAGAUCAAAGUUAUAAUCAGGACACUAAAUAAUAUGAAGAAAGUUGCUAUCCUAAAUAGAGUGCAUAUGUUAUUAUUGUUGUAAGCGUAACUUCUGUAAUUUAAUUAGGAUGGAAGAUGAGAUUAACUAACCAGUAAAGUACGAAGGUUCUCUACGGCGAGGAUCAUAUCCUCUAGGAAGACAACUUGAGUUCCAAUGUCUCCUCAAAUUUAUAGAUCAGCUUCAACGUUAUUCCUUUCAUUCUCUGUGUUUUUUUAAUGGGAUCAAUAUCAUCUUCCCUUUUCACAUCUUGAAGAUGUUCUACUCCGCCAAUUGAUUUCCUCUUGGACCACCAUGUUCCUGCUGCAUGGUGAAUUUUCUUUUUUAGCACCUCCGGCUUUUCAUUCUGCUCAUACAAAGCAACAUGAACUACAAUCCGAACCCCACAUUGUGUUCCAUAACAUACAAAAAAAGGGGGUAUAAAUUUGGAUUAUUUUUUUCAGAAACAUAUGACACUAUAGGAUGGUUCAAAACUGUUAAAGUAACACGGUGGGACAGAGAAAAAGAAAUAAUACAUUUCCUUUGGUGAGGGAAUCAAAUAGACAAUAAAGGCUUGCAAAUGCAGCUGACAAAUACAAGGAUAUAACAACCACCGCAUAUACAGAGUUUAAAAAGGAGAGAUAGAUUUAAAAAAGACAAUUUUCAAUUUUGAUCUGUAAUCUAACCUAUACUAAAAGGGUUAUAUGAGCAUCAGAGAAGCUGUCCACGUCAGCAAUUAAAUCAGCCAAUAGGAUGAGUUCUUUUUGCCAUGUCAUUCGUUCAUUCACACAACACAUGGACCUCUCCGUUUCGUUUUCCUCCCAUUACACCACUUCCGAUUCUCCUUCGCUUCCACAUCUAAGUCUCAUUAAGUUCAUUUGCUUAUCAUAAAGUCUCAUCUAGCAUCGAGCGAAUCAUCUUUCACGUUUCAAUCGAAUCCACGCGGUGUUUCUGGUUCAGCCUCGAGAUCGAACCGGAAACCGCCGUUGAAGAUCGAGCCGCCGAACAGAACCGAGUGGAUCCAAUUCGCAACCGCAAAUCCCCAGCCAGAGCAGCUACCCGUACAUGUGUCCGCGGAAGAGAAGAUGCAUUACAGAGGAGUGAGGAUGAGGCCGUGGGUGAAAUUCGCGGCGGAGAUCCGAGAUCCGAACCGUCGGGGAACUAGGGUUUCGCUCGGGACGUUUGACACGGAGAUCGAAGCCGCUAGGGGUUACGACCAAGCAGCGUUUAAACUUCGAGGGGCUAAGGCCAUUGUGAAUUUCCCGCUUGAGGUAGGGACGUGGAAUCAACACGCUGACGUUGGACAGAACAAACGGAAGCGAGACGGAGAGGAAGAACAAACUUUUACGACAACCCAUUGCACCGGAGAAACCGUUCUCUCCAACCACCACCUUUCCCCGCCGAUCUCGCCGACGUCCAUCGCUCAUCUCGCGAGAAAGCAAACAAUCGGAUCUUUACUUUCUUACUCAACCUAUAUUAAGAGGCUUGAGGUCCUUGCUUAUGAUGUGAAACCUAAAGAGGCUCCGGUUACAACGGCGGUACUGAAGGUGUGGACUUCCACCGUGAACGGUGUAUUGAGAAGAUUCAAAAGACUGUCUCUAAAGCCAAAGGUGUGAGUGGGUUUUCAAUAGAUCACGAGAAGCAGUUGGUGACGGUUAAAGGAACAAUGGACGUGAAAAAGCUCGUCAGGAGUUUGACUGAGAAGCUAAAACGUAGCGUGGAGAUUGUGGCGACGGCCAAGAAUGGUAACGCAAAAGAGAAACAGUACGUGGCGGCUCAGCCUGCUCACGGGUCUGCGUAUUUUCCGGGUGAGGAUGGAGAUACGAUUGAAUACUUAGCACCUCAGAUUUUCAGCGAUGAUAAUCCGAAUGCUUGCGUCGUUAUGUGAAGCGGCGGAAGAACAUUGACGGGCAUUACAUCAUCCAUUCACAGCUCCUAGGCCUGAAGAUAUGGAUGACUUACCUUCUGCACGAGCUCUUGCCUAUGACAUGGUCUAUAAUGGCGUCGAGAUUGGUGGAGGAAGUUUAAGGAUAUAUAAGCGGGAUGUCCAAGAAAAGGUUCUAGAGAUCAUUGGCAUCUCAGCUGAAGAGGCUGAAGCAAAGUUUGGCUAUCUUCUGGAGGCUCUUGACAUGGGUGCUCCUCCUCAUGGUGGAAUUGCUUAUGGAUUAGAUAGGAUGGUAAUGAUGCUGGCAGGUGCGAGUUCCAUAAGGGAUGUAAUAGCUUUCCCAAAGACAACCACUGCGCAAUGUGCACUAACCAGAACUCCCUCGGAAGUCGAUCCAAAGCAGCUCCAAGAUCUCUCUGAUAGAGUUUAGAUAUCUCUAACUCUCAGACUCUUCUUAUUGAUCACUCCAACACCAAGUACAAGCUAGAACAGAGAUUACAAGAUGAUAAACGAACAGCUUUGAGCUUGACUCCGGCUAGGCUCUCAUGGCGAGCUUCACCUUCGUCACCGAUCUCAUGGCGAUCGGGUCAAGAUGACUCAUGGCGUCAAUCUACAGCAACAUCAAAGCCUAAAGAACGAAUGAAGAAAGAGAACUCUAUUUAUAUCUCAGUCUCUAUCGUGAGUCUUCUUCUAACGGCAAACCUGCCAAAUCAUCCAGAGAGUUUGCUCUAUUCCUUUCCCACGUCAGCAUCUGAUAUUAGAUGUCUAUCAAUACUCCCCUCAACCAAAACAAGCUUGCCCUCAAGCUUGUAUGAAAAGAAACCACCAUCUUAUGCAUUCAUAAACUGACGUGCAGCUCCAUUGAGAAAGUC